AUUGAACGCUGGCGGUAUGCUUAACACAUGCAAGUCGAACGGAAACGACAAGAGCUUGCUCUUGGGCGUCGAGUGGCGGACGGGUGAGUAACGCGUAGGAAUCUACCUGAUAGUGGGGGAUAGCCCAGAGAAAUCUGGAUUAAUAUCGCAUAAUAUCUACGGAUUAAAGUGGAGGAUCUUCGGACUUCACGCUAUCAGAUGAGCCUGCGUUAGAUUAGCUAGUUGGUGAGGUAAAAGCUCACCAAGGCGACGAUCUAUAGCUGGUCUGAGAGGAUGAUCAGCCACACUGGGACUGAGACACGGCCCAG
rnacentral:rRNA from 1 species